rnacentral:rRNA from 1 species
CCUACGGGAGGCAGCAGUGGGGAAUUUUGGACAAUGGGCGCAAGCCUGAUCCAGCAAUGCCGCGUGAGUGAAGAAGGCCUUCGGGUUGUAAAGCUCUUUUGUCAGGGAAGAAACGGGUCUUUCUAAUACAGAGAUCUAAUGACGGUACCUGAAGAAUAAGCACCGGCUAACUACGUGCCAGCAGCCGCGGUAAUACGUAGGGUGCAAGCGUUAAUCGGAAUUACUGGGCGUAAAGCGUGCGCAGGCGGUUUUGUAAGUCUGUCGUGAAAUCCCCGGGCUCAACCUGGGAAUGGCGAUGGAGACUGCAAGGCUAGAAUCUGGCAGAGGGGGGUAGAAUUCCACGUGUAGCAGUGAAAUGCGUAGAUAUGUGGAGGAACACCGAUGGCGAAGGCAGCCCCCUGGGCUAAGAUUGACGCUCAUGCACGAAAGCGUGGGGAGCAAACAGGAUUAGAUACCCUGGUAGUCCACGCCCUAAACGAUGUCUACUAGUUGUCGGGUCUUAAUUGACUUGGUAACGCAGCUAACGCGUGAAGUAGACCGCCUGGGGAGUACGGUCGCAAGAUUAAAACUCAAAUGAAAUUGAGGCUGAGACGAGACGAGGACGACGACGAGGGAGGAG